rnacentral:rRNA from 1 species
CAUGUGGAGCGCUUAGAAGUGAGAAUGCCGGUGUGAGUAGCGAAAGACGGGUGAGAAUCCCGUCCACCGAUUGACUAAGGUUUCCAGAGGAAGGCUCGUCCGCUCUGGGUUAGUCGGGUCCUAAGCUGAGGCCGACAGGCGUAGGCGAUGGAUAACAGGUUGAUAUUCCUGUACCACCAUUAUUCGUUUUAAGCGAUGGGGGGACGCAGUAGGAUAGGCGAAGCGUGCUGUUGGAGUGCACGUCCAAGCAGUGAGAUUGAGUGUUAGGCAAAUCCGGCACUCUUAAGAUUGAGCUGUGAUGGGGAGAGGAACUUGUUCCUCGAGUCGUUGAUUUCACACUGCCGAGAAAAGCCUCUAGCUAGAAUAACGGUGCCCGUACCGCAAACCGACACAGGUAGUCAAGAUGAGAAUUCUAAGGUGAGCGAGCGAACUCUCGUUAAGGAACUCGGCAAAAUGACCCCGUAACUUCGGGAGAAGGGGUGCUCUUUGAGGUUCACGCUUCGAAGAGCCGCAGUGAAUAGGCCCAAGCGACUGUUUAUCAAAAACACAGGUCUCUGCUAAACCGUAAGGUGACGUAUAGGGGCUGACGCCUGCCCGGUGCUGGAAGGUUAAGAGGAGUGGUUAGCGCAAGCGAAGCUACGAAUCGAAGCCCCAGUAAACGGCGGCCGUAACUAUAACGGUCCUAAGGUAGCGAAAUUCCUUGUCGGGUAAGUUCCGACCCGCACGAAAGGCGUAACGAUUUGGGCACUGUCUCAACGAGAGACUCGGUGAAAUCAUAGUACCGGUGAAGAUGCCGGUUACCCGCGACAGGACGGAAAGACCCCGUGGAGCUUUACUGUAGCCUGAUAUUGAAAUUCGGUACAGUUUGUACAGGAUAGGUAGGAGCCUUAGAAGCGUGAGCGCUAGCUUACGUGGAGGCAUUGGUGGGAUACUACCCUAAUUGUAUUGGAUUUCUAACCCGCAGCACUUAUCGUGCUGGGAGACAGUGUCAGGCGGGCAGUUUGACUGGGGCGGUCGCCUCCUAAAGAGUAACGGAGGCGCUCAAAGGUUCCCUCAGAAUGGUUGGAAAUCAUUCAUAGAGUGUAAAGGCAUAAGGGAGCUUGACUGCGAGACCUACAAGUCGAGCAGGGUCGAAAGACGGACUUAGUGAUCCGGUGGUUCCGCAUGGAAGGGCCAUCGCUCAACGGAUAAAAGCUACCCCGGGGAUAACAGGCUUAUCUCCCCCAAGAGUUCACAUCGACGGGGAGGUUUGGCACCUCGAUGUCGGCUCAUCGCAUCCUGGGGCUGUAGUCGGUCCCAAGGGUUGGGCUGUUCGCCCAUUAAAGCGGUACGCGAGCUGGGUUCAGAACGUCGUGAGACAGUUCGGUCCCUAUCCGUCGUGGGCGUAGGAAAUUUGAGAGGAGCUGUCCUUAGUACGAGAGGACCGGGAUGGACAUACCUCUGGUGUACCAGUUGUCGU